rnacentral:lncRNA from 1 species
GAGGGGCCGUUGCUGGCGGCAAUGGUUGGUUUGGGGGUUGUGGUCGAAUCUUUGCCAAGUAAUGGGGAGUGGAUAUUAUCAAUGGAGCUUAAUGAAUCAGUUAGUUCAAUCCUGCAAUUAUUACCAGCACUCUCCAUAUUGGUUCUCAGAAGCUUCUUCUUUAGAUGAAUGUUCCAGAAAUUUUUGAUGUCAUUAUCUGUUCUUUGUGGCAGGUGAGAUGCUAUUGCUGCCCAUCUAAAGGAAAAGUGACAAAAAAAAAAUCAGUAAAUAGAGGUAAGCUUUCAACUUUUAGGAUCUACUUAGAUCUAAAAUUUAAUUUGAGGUGAAAAAUUGGGCAUAUUUAUUUAGAUUGAGGUUUAACUUAUAAGUACUUGUUGCCUAGCAGAGUUUGGAGACGAAUUAUCUUUUGUUCCUCUUGUGGUGUGAAGUUCCCACGCUUGAUCCCUGGUCUUAAAUAAUUUGUCCAUCUCAAUCUGCAACUUUUG